AAUAUUAUUCCAUUAAUGUGAUGUUUAAUAACUCUUUGCAUAUAUUGAUUUUUGAAAUACAUUCUUUACCUAAUUAAUGCAUUUAAUUUUCUAGAUACAGUCCAACCUGGUAGACGCUGGGUUACUGCACAAUCCCUCACAGAGUCACCAGUUUAUCAGCCUGAUAAAGAGCUCAGUGUGGAUGUCGGAGACCCGGCUACUCUGCAGUGUUGUAUUUCUGAAAACAUAGUUGGGAUGGUUGCCUGGUUUAAGCAACCAAACAGAAAACAGCCUCAGAUUAUAGUCAAACUCUUUAAAAAUGUUGGAGGAACAUUUUCCAUUGAAUUCCAAAAUCCUGGUUUCCAGACAGAAAAACAUUUAAACUGUUUCAACAUGACCAUUUUAAACACCACUCAGUCUGAUGAAGCCAUGUACUACUGUGCACUGACAUCCCCCGACAUCGUGUUUGCAGAUGGGACUUAUUUAAAAAUUAAAGGUAGGAUUUUGAUUUAAAUUGAUUAAGCUGCAGAUUUAAUGUAGUGAUAUUUUUCCUUAUAACCAUUAGCAUGAUAAAUGUUUAUAGGUGAUCAUGUUACCAUUGUAUCAGAAACAUCUAAACCAGCUCUGUGUGAUAAUUCAGUGGUGUGUGAUCCAACACUGCAUGGAAACAACACUAACAUGAACACAUACGAGAAAACAGGUGAUAUGUUGUAUAAUUUAGUAUUAAUUAAUUAUACUUAAUUCAUAAAGCAUAAUUUACCCAGAAAAUAAUGUGUACUAAUGUAAAUAUAACAUGGUGAAAUAUCAGAACCAGAAAUGAUCAGAUCUCUACAUUCGACAGUGCUCGGUUUGGGAACGGCUUUGGGUUUGUGUGCAUUUCUGAUAUUCUGUCUCACUUAUUUCAUACUGAGGAGAAGAAAAUGUGAUAAAAUAAAUGCUUCUGUAGAACAUUCUCCAGGAAGAAAUCAGGAAUCUGAAGCUGAAACACUGAAUUACGCAGCUGUGCAAUUCUCCAAGAGGAAAGCCGAAGCUGCAAAAAGAAAAACUGGCUCAUCAGAUGAGUGUGUGUACUCUGAUGUGAAUAAAACUGUAAGAUGUAACAUAAAUGAUUUAUAAUACACAGUGAAACACUUGAAAAUGUUUUAGCAUGUUAAAUAUAUCGACUAUGCAAAUUUAUUACAUAUUUUUCAUUACAGGCUUAUAAUCAUUAAAAGAUUAUUAAACCAACAGUUUUGUUAAUUUCAAGCUUGCGAGAUCAUUUAUCUGCUUACAGAUGAGUGUAUUUCUACAAACAAAAUUACUUCAUAUGCCAGCAUUAUUUAUUUAUUUAUUUAUUUAUUUAUUUUUAAAAGCCUAAUCUCAUUAUAAUACAUAAUAAGUAAAUUUGCCCGUAUUCAUGAUAUUUUUAAAGCGCUGUAGCUAAACAUCCAUGCUACAGGUUUUUAUCUAUUUUCUUUCUACUGUCCUAUUAUUAACAUUAAAUACCUUUUAAAGGUUAGCUAACUUUAUAUGACUACAAUGUUGCCCUUUGUGGAGAUUGUGUGGUAUCAUCUGUAUGACUCUGAUUUUUACACAAUAAAUGUACAACAAAUUUAAUUAAAGAAAUAAAAAAAGACCCUUAAAGAU